rnacentral:lncRNA from 1 species
AAUAAAUAAAAAUAAUAUAAAAACUUUUCUAGACUCGGUCUACUAUAGACCCAAGACACAGAGAAUUGAAUCUCAUUACAUGAGACCCAUAUUUAACGUAUCUUAGUUUACGGUGGACCCACUUAAGAAUUUUUGGAGACUAAAUAAAAAAAAAUCAAAUUAUAUUAAUUUAUUAAAAUAAUUUUAAAAAUAUUUUAAGAAACUAAAAUUUUUAUUGUUCACUAUAUUUUAAAUCUUAUUACUAAUUUUGAGAGGGUCAAAUGUAAAAUAAUUAAAAAUUAUAUAUAAAUAUGUAUAUAAAAAUAUUUUUUUUGGGGGGCCAGUUUGGGAGGGCCAAGGCUCUCCCUUGUCCCCCCUACUUUCGCCCAUGGUAACACCAGCUGAGCCAUUCCAUAAUUAGAAUUAUAGUUUUAAAUAACGGUGGCCCUCCCAAACUCCCCCCUACUUCCGCCCAUAACAACAGCUAACAACAGCCGAGCCAUUCCAUAAUUAGAAUCAUAGUUUUAAAUAACGGCCAUUACGUUAAGUAAUGGUUUUUGAGAGGCCGUUAUUCGUUAUCCGUCGUAAAACAACAAUGAUCCUCUGAUUUGCAUGCGUAACGACCGUUACAAUGCCCCCUAUUUACCGGCAUAACGGCCGUUACCGACCGUUAAAUAACGGCAACGGUUGUUACCAAUAAUUGAAAUUCUUUUAUAUCAACGGUUGUUAUCAAUAAUUGAAAUUUUUUUAUAUCCUUCCUCUUCUGCCCCUAUUCUCAAUUUCAUUAAUUUCUCUAUUCUCAAUUUCAAAGGCUAUAUUUUUUAAGUUUUCUCUUCACUUUCUCUUUUAAAUUUCAAUCUUUCUUGCAUAUUUUUCCUAUAAAUUUAAAUUUAUCAUAAACUACUGUAUUUCCAAACUUAUUUCUUAUAAAAAGUUAAUUAAAUUUUAUGUGCUUUAGUUUUUAGUUAUUUUUUCCCUUUUUUAAAAAGAUUUUUGUCAAUAAAAUUAUUAGUUUUGAGUUCAAAUUAUAAUUUGAGCUAUUAGUUGACUCGAUCUACAAAGUUUAUGUUGGUUUUUCUUAUUUUAAACUAUAUGAUGUCUAACUUAAGUUAAAUAAUCUAUAUUUCAUGUAUUUAUGUUUAUUAUGCAUUUGUAUACAUUGUUCUGAAUUAAAAUCUAAUUAAUAUCAUUUCAUUUAUGAACUUUGCAAAUUUUUUUGAAAAACUUGUGUAACCGAGGCCGUUACUACAUAUAAGCCUUUUUCUGUUACUCGCGACGGCAACCACGAUUUAAAACUAUGAUUAGAAUCCAACCGACAGUAUAUACUUGGAGAAGAUUCUUACCAGGCAAAUCACACAAGUUCCUUCAUCC